rfam:Synechococcus sp. PCC 7335 ctg_1103496006869, whole genome shotgun sequence.
CCAGUCCAGUGUCCAGGACUGUUUCUAACACUCCCAUGCGUUGCUGGCAACGGCAAGGUGUGAAGCGGAGCGUAACACCCAAGGAAGCAUCAAGCCAACUGAUGUAACCAGG